CGAAUGCUGACAUAAGUAACGAUAAAGCGGGUGAAAAGCCCGCUCGCCGGAAGACCAAGGGUUCCUGUCCAACGUUAAUCGGGGCAGGGUGAGUCGACCCCUAAGGCGAGGCCGAAAGGCGUAGUCGAUGGGAAACAGGUUAAUAUUCCUGUACUUGGUGUUACUGCGAAGGGGGGACGGAGAAGGCUAUGUUGGCCGGGCGACGGUUGUCCCGGUUUAAGCGUGUAGGCUGGUUUUCCAGGCAAAUCCGGAAAAUCAAGGCUGAGGCGUGAUGACGAGGCACUACGGUGCUGAAGCAACAAAUGCCCUGCUUCCAGGAAAAGCCUCUAAGCAUCAGGUAACAUCAAAUCGUACCCCAAACCGACACAGGUGGUCAGGUAGAGAAUACCAAGGCGCUUGAGAGAACUCGGGUGAAGGAACUAGGCAAAAUGGUGCCGUAACUUCGGGAGAAGGCACGCUGAUAUGUAGGUGAAGCGACUUGCUCGUGGAGCUGAAAUCAGUCGAAGAUACCAGCUGGCUGCAACUGUUUAUUAAAAACACAGCACUGUGCAAACACGAAAGUGGACGUAUACGGUGUGACGCCUGCCCGGUGCCGGAAGGUUAAUUGAUGGGGUUAGCGCAAGCGAAGCUCUUGAUCGAAGCCCCGGUAAACGGCGGCCGUAACUAUAACGGUCCUAAGGUAGCGAAAUUCCUUGUCGGGUAAGUUCCGACCUGCACGAAUGGCGUAAUGAUGGCCAGGCUGUCUCCACCCGAGACUCAGUGAAAUUGAACUCGCUGUGAAGAUGCAGUGUACCCGCGGCAAGACGGAAAGACCCCGUGAACCUUUACUAUAGCUUGACACUGAACAUUGAGCCUUGAUGUGUAGGAUAGGUGGGAGGCUUAGAAGUGUGGACGCCAGUCUGCAUGGAGCCGACCUUGAAAUACCACCCUUUAAUGUUUGAUGUUCUAACGUUGACCCGUAAUCCGGGUUGCGGACAGUGUCUGGUGGGUAGUUUGACUGGGGCGGUCUCCUCCUAAAGAGUAACGGAGGAGCACGAAGGUUGGCUAAUCCUGGUCGGACAUCAGGAGGUUAGUGCAAUGGCAUAAGCCAGCUUGACUGCGAGCGUGACGGCGCGAGCAGGUGCGAAAGCAGGUCAUAGUGAUCCGGUGGUUCUGAAUGGAAGGGCCAUCGCUCAACGGAUAAAAGGUACUCCGGGGAUAACAGGCUGAUACCGCCCAAGAGUUCAUAUCGACGGCGGUGUUUGGCACCUCGAUGUCGGCUCAUCACAUCCUGGGGCUGAAGUAGGUCCCAAGGGUAUGGCUGUUCGCCAUUUAAAGUGGUACGCGAGCUGGGUUUAGAACGUCGUGAGACAGUUCGGUCCCUA
rnacentral:rRNA from 1 species